rnacentral:rRNA from 1 species
GAUGAACGCUGGCGGCGUGCCUAAUACAUGCAAGUCGAGCGAACAGAUGAGGAGCUUGCUCCUUUGACGUUAGCGGCGGACGGGUGAGUAACACGUGGAUAACCUACCUAUAAGACUGGGAUAACUUCGGGAAACCGGAGCUAAUACCGGAUAACAUAUUGAACCGCAUGGUUCAAUAGUGAAAGACGGCUUUGCUGUCACUUAUAGAUGGAUCCGCGCUGCAUUAGCUAGUUGGUAAGGUAACGGCUUACCAAGGCAACGAUGCGUAGCCGACCUGAGAGGGUGAUCGGCCACACUGGAACUGAGACACGGUCCAGACUCCUACGGGAGGCAGCAGUAGGGAAUCUUCCGCAAUGGGCGAAAGCCUGACGGAGCAACGCCGCGUGAGUGAUGAAGGUCUUCGGAUCGUAAAACUCUGUUAUCAGGGAAGAACAAAUGUGUAAGUAACUGUGCACAUCUUGACGGUACCUGAUCAGAAAGCCACGGCUAACUACGUG